AAUGAACGCUGGCGGCGCGCCUAAUACAUGCAAGUCGAGCGAGAAGACGUAGCAAUACGUUUGUAAAGCGGCGAACGGGUGAGGAAUACAUGGGUAACCUACCCUCGAGUGGGGAAUAACUAGCCGAAAGGUUAGCUAAUACCGCGUACGCUCCUUGGACUUCGGUUCAGGGAGGAAAGCGAUACCGUGGGUAUCGCGCUCUUGGUUGGGCUCAUGUCCUAUCAGCUUGUUGGUGAGGUAACGGCUCACCAAGGCUUCGACGGGUAGCUGGUCUGAGAGGACGAUCAGCCACACUGGCACUGCGACACGGGCCAGACUCCUACGGGAGGCAGCAGUAAGGAAUAUUGCGCAAUGGGCGAAAAGCCUGACGCAGCGACGCCGCGUGGGGGAUGAAGGUCUUCGGAUUGUAAACCCCUUUCGGUAGGGAAGAUGGAACGAGCAAUCGUUCGGACGGUACCUCCAGAAGCAGCCACGGCUAACUUCGUGCCAGCAGCCGCGGUAACACCGA
rnacentral:rRNA from 1 species